rnacentral:rRNA from 1 species
AGAACGAACGCUGGCGGCAGGCUUAACACAUGCAAGUCGAACGCGUGUAGCAAUACACGAGUGGCGCACGGGUGAGUAACGCGUGGAUAUCUGCCUUUUGGUUCGGAAUAACCCCGGGAAGCUGGGGCUAAUACCGGAUGGUUCCUUCGGGAUAAAGAUUUAUCGCCAAAAGAUGAGUCCGCGUACGAUUAGCUAGUUGGUGAGGUAAUGGCUCACCAAGGCGACGAUCGUUAGCUGGUCUGAGAGGACGAUCAGCCACACUGGGACUGAGACACGGCCCAGACUCCUACGGGAGGCAGCAGUGGGGAAUAUUGGACAAUGGGGGCAACCCUGAUCCAGCCAUGCCGCGUGAGUGAUGAAGGCCUUCGGGUUGUAAAGCUCUUUUGGCGGGGUACGAUGAUGACGGUACCCGCAGAAUAAGCCCGGCUAACUCGUGCCAGCAGCCGC